CUAAAGUUUGUUCUCUUUCAUUAAUACUCUAUUCUACAUGUCAUGGUGCUCACCAAUAUUUGAUUUUAUGAUACAAUUAAUCAACGAGGUAGAAUGCAGAUACAUUUUUUUUGAUAUAAAAGCACCAAAAGUUGUACAUGUUAAGGCUCUUUGAAAUAUGGAGACAAUUUGGUUACAAAUCUUUCUUUUUAAUUGUACUUGUGAGAAUCAUCAGGCCUUCCAGCGACGUAGUCCAUGAUUCCCUCUCCGGUUGCUUUAUCUGAAAGCUGUUGAACGCCACCGAAGGUGAUUGCUAUGGCCAAGAAGGCGGCCGUUGACGCAAACAGUGGCCAGAAAUAAGCUACUAUGUCGAGAAUUCUGGGUGCUGCGUACACGAGGGAUACAACAAGUAGGCUCACGAUGAUUGCGACCAUGAAAUCGAGUUUGUACUCCAUCAGCCUUGUUUGAAUCUCCAUUUCUUGUUGAUAGGGGAGAGAGAAAGAGCGAGGGAGAAUAUAACCAAAACUCUGAUGAUUGCAACUUGCCAGGAAGGAGAUAUGGGGUUUUAAUGUCAAAAAGUAUGUAGCUUUGGCUUUGUUGAUCAACGCAUGUUCUCAAGUCAUGUUCCUUAGAGCAGGUUUAUCGCAGUGGCUUAAAUGAAUUGCUUAAGGCUAAUUGCAAUUAAAAUAAAUGAUAAAAGGAAAAAAAGAGAAAAGGUGUUGCUUAAUUUGGCACGGGAAGCUUCGUUGCAUCUUUGCCAGGUGUCGCACCGGGACAGGCUGGAGAAGAGGUGACCGUCGUGUUCAUCGCAUUUUCUCUUUUCCUUCAUUUCUCUCUCUCUUUUUCUCUCCUCGCUAUGGCGAAAGGCGAAAUCCGAUGCGAUCGAUGGGACUGUUCGACGCCACGGCUGCGUCUCAGUGGGUGGCUGUCGUCGACGACGGCAAACGACAGCCUCUCUAUCUGUUACUCUCCUCCACCAAGGAAAACGGUGACAUCUCUCUCCGUUUCCUUCCUCUCCUUGGCGAAAGGGGAGAUCUCUCCCGAUCGGUGGUUCUGUUGGACGAUCAGACGACGUCUCCGUCGGUGGCUGUCGUUGAGGAAGGGCCACGGCGAUCUCCCUAUCUGUCUCUUUCCUCUCCUUGGCGGAAUUGUUGCGAGCUCUAUCUCAGGCGAAUCGAAGGUAAAGAUUUGUUAAUAUGAUGCAUGUAUUUGAUUUUGAUUAUGCAUGUAUUUGAUUUAGAUUUUCUCGAACAGAUCGAGAAUUUUAAUAUGAGGAACAUGAUAAAUUUGGAUUUGAUUUUUUUUCUGUCAUGUUCUUGUGAGAUGGAAUGAUCAAGAGCCAGACGAUUCUUCAUUCAAAAGGCAGAAGAUCAAGGGUUACAUGUUAAAGGUUGUUGGAUCAAGAUGCAGUGGCAAGGUUCGUGAGACAAAAGCCCUACGCUUGUUGAUAGAGUAUCACGGGAGUGGCGACUUGGAAAAGAACAGGAGAGAGUGGAGAGUGGAGAGGCAGACAAGACCACGCGAGAGUGGAGCAUUGUAUCACGGGAGUUGUUCUGUUUAUAUUGUCUUGUUCCUGUUUUGUAUUAUCUUGUUCGUGUUGUGCAUUUGGUCACGGAACUUGUACUAAUGCAUUGUUUUGGUCACGAGAAUGCAUUGAUAUGUAUUUGGUCACGAGUCUUUGUAAGACUUAUAAAAUGUAUCUAUCUAUCACUUUCUCAUUAUCACCAUUCUUGCAAGUUAUAAACAAUACACUCUCUUGCUUCAUUCUCUCAAUUCUCUUCAUCAAAACAAUCCAUUCUCACUCUCAAUUCUCUUGAUUCAACAAUCCAUUCUCAUUAUCGUUGAUUAAACAAUCCGUUUCUCAAGUUAUAAACAAUCAAUUUCCUUUAUCUCAUGGCAUCUUCCUCUCAUAACAAUUUCGAAGACUCUAGUUAUGAUUUGAAGUGCUCGAUCAAUAUUUUGAUUAUCAAUUCGGUGAAGCAUUUGAGAAUUUGUGCAAUACUUUUGGUGAUCAAACAGAAGAAAAGAAGACAAGAAAAAAAGAGUUUUUAUCAAAAGAAACCGUGAAGAAGCUCAUCUCCGAUUAUGGAAUGAUUAUUUUAGUGACGCUCCAACGUAUCCAGAAAACCUAUUCCGGCGACGAUUUCGUAUGAACAAACCAAUGUUUAUACAUAUUGUUGAUCGUCUCUCAAAUGAAGUUCAAUUCUUUCGUCGGAAGAAGGACGGUCUCGGAAGGCUUGGUCUCUCUACACUUCAGAAGUGUACGGCAGCUAUUCGUGUGUUGGCAUAUGGUUCUGCGCUUGAUGCGGACGAAUACCUCAGGCUCGGUGCAACCACUACUCGGUUAUGUGUGGAAAAUUUUGUGGAAGCAAUAAUAGAUUUGUUCGGAGAUCAGUACCUAAGAAGACCAACACAAGAUGAUCUUCAACGUCUACUUCAUAUUGGAGAGCUUCGUGGGUUUCCCAGGAUGAUAGGAAGCAUCGAUUGUAUGCAUUGGGAGUGGAAGAAUUGUCCCACCGCUGGGAAAGGGCAAUAUUCUCAUGGUUCUGGAAAACCGACUAUCGUUUUAGAGGCGGGUGCUUCAUAUGAUCUUUGGAUAUGGCAUGCGUGUUUUGGACCUCCAGGUACCUUAAAUGAUAUCAAUGUUCUUGAUCGCUCACCUGUUUUUGAUGACAUAAUAAAUGGUCAAGCUCCGCAAGUAAAUUUCACGGCCAACGGAAGAGAGUAUCAUUUGGCUUACUAUCUCACCGAUGACAAUUUAUCCGAAAUGGGAAACUUUUAUCCAAUCUAUUCCAAUUCCACAAGGGCCUAAAGCAGUUUUAUUUGCUCAACGUCAAGAAG